rnacentral:rRNA from 1 species
UACGUAGGGGGCAAGCGUUGUCCGGAUUUAUUGGGCGUAAAGAGCGUGUAGGCGGUUCGGUAGGUCCGUUGUGAAAACUCGAGGCUCAACCUCGAGACGCCGAUGGAAACCAUCGAACUAGAGUCCGGAAGAGGAGAGUGGAAUUCCUGGUGUAGCGGUGAAAUGCGCAGAUAUCAGGAAGAACACCCGUGGCUAAGGCGGCUCUCUAGUACGGUACUGACGCUGAGACGCGAAAAGCGUGGGGGAGCGAACAGG